AGUCGCGUGGUCUAAUGGUCAUGAUUUCUGAUUCACAUGGGUUAAAUUCGCCUGUAAUAAGUGGAUCUCUGUUACUCAGAAGGUUCCCGGUUCGAUCCCGGGCGCGACUA
rfam:Penicillium brasilianum genome assembly, contig: SCAF15